AUUUAUAAAGUUUAUAAAACGUUUCAUUUUCAUUGAAAAGAGAGACCCAAGUCUUAUAAAUA
rnacentral:tRNA from 1 species